rnacentral:rRNA from 1 species
GAUGAACGCUGACAGCAUGCUUAACACAUGCAAGUCUACUUGAACUUCGGUUUGGGUGGCGGACGGGUGAGUCACGCGUAAAGAACUUGCCUCACAGUUAGGGACAACAUUUGGAAACGAAUGCUAAUACCUGAUAUUAUGAUUUUAGGGCAUCCUAAAAUUAUGAAAGCUAUAUGCGCUGUGAGAGAGCUUUGCGUCCCAUUAGCUAGUUGGAGAGGUAACGGCUCACCAAGGCGAUGAUGGGUAGCCGGCCUGAGAGGGUGAACGGCCACAAGGGGACUGAGACACGGCCCUUACUCCUACGGGAGGCAGCAGUGGGGAAUAUUGGACAAUGGACCAAAAGUCUGAUCCAGCAAUUCUGUGUGCACGAUGACGUUUUUCGGAAUGUAAAGUGCUUUCAGUUGGGAAGAAAAAAAUGACGGUACCAACAGAAGAAGUGACGGCUAAAUACGUG